rnacentral:piRNA from 1 species
UCUCUAGGUGGCUUCCCUUCAGUCUCUGU